UAAAAUAUAAUAUUAAGAUGAGAACUAUUGUUGUGGCACGGCAACAUCUGCAGGUGUCUCAACACUGAAUUUGCCCAGGGUCACUCUUUUCCGUCCUUCCCAACUGGAAGCGUGAUCUCAGAUGCAGCCGUCUUCUCCGUCACGAGUCGAGCUUUUCCGUGCCAAGUUUCUGUCUUAAGUAUAGACUCGUAUCUCGGUGGCAAGUGUUGAGAGACGCGCCAUUCCACAUCCCUAACCGGACCUGUUCUAUCACGUGGUGGGUGUGGGUCGAGGUGUUCGCCCAGUCUGUUAUGCUAACAUUUUAAGCCGCGGUGUCAGCCUCGAUGAAGGUAUGCAUUGUUGAAAGUAUGACCAAAAUGGCGGUAAAUUUCCACGUCUCUUCAGCAGGUGUUUACUUGUGUCAACGCCGCGCUGACAACGUUGAAGCAGCGAGCCCGUGCACGGACGGGCCACUCCUGCAUAUUGGCCCGUGUUUGUUUUAACAAGCCUCGUCAAUAGAAUAUUUCAUAAAAGAAGCGGUGGCCUGGAACUGUUUGUGUUCCAUGUAAGGAGAGGAAUGUGCCCCAUUUCACUCUUUGAAAGGUGACCUCGGUGUUGUACAUCUGUGGCAGCCAAACGCCGUUUUUGUCUGCCGGCACUCUUUGUCUCUCUGUUUUUACUGCGAAAGCAUUCGGACGAGGGAGGCAUCACUCGCUAUCUUUGUCUCUCACGCUUGCUCACGCAGGAGUUGGCUUGACCGUAACAUGACGAAUUGCUCACCCGAGUGCCCGUACUUCCAGUCGAGCGUGAUGUCGAGCUACUGCGCUGCCAAAUGUUUCACGUUGAACUUGAAAGAAAUGAAAUGUUUCUGGUGGUUGGCUUACACCCGGUCACCGCACAUUUCGACAGCUCCCGUGUGCUUUCAUUAGCCAGCAAAAUGAGAGUGGCUCACACGUCCAAAUUCAAUGGCUGCAAGACUCUCAAAGACAACGCAGGCCAGAGGUGGAAAAUUCCAUCGCCCUGAAGUAACUGGAGGCGGCACGUCAGUCGACGGGUUAGCACGCCCGCCUCACGGCGCACAGGUGCGGGGUUGGAUUCCGGCUCCGGCCUUCCCGUGUGGAGUUUGCAUGUUCUCCCCGUGUCCGCGUGGGUUUUCUCCGGUCAUCCCUAAAACAGGCGUGGCAGGUUGUUAGGGCGCCCCCAACUGUCCCGAGGUGCCAUUGCGAGCGCGAGUGGUUGUUGGAUCUACGUGUGCCCAGCGAUUGGCUGUCAGGGUAGAUCGGCUCCAGCACGCCCGCGACCCUCGUGAGGAGAAGCGCAUUGGAAAAUCGGCCCGCAGGGGCAUCGAGUGCCUCUCUGGGCGUGUGUUGUUUAGGUUUCUUAGCCUGUUAUGAAUGAGUACAACCAUCGCCAUAUAAUUGCAUGCUCUCUACUUGAUGGCCCAGUCCGUGUCUUUUACUCACAGAUUUCAGACCGCCUCCCUUCGGGAUUCAUCCACUUCUAUUUUCUCCGAAAUGCAAAACGGCAAUGAUUGAAUAAGGCUAUAGUUUGCUGCGCGCACACCGGCACGUUCACUAGAAGCUUUAUUUCAUUCAUGCACUUCCUCUCUUGAUUCCAAAGGAGGUACAAAACCACCCAGCGGACUAAAGACGGAUAUUCCAUCGGUGGGAAAAGAGAGCCCAUAUUCAUCAAAGCUCUUCUUUUCCAGAAACCCGCUUCUCUCUCGGAGGCUUGCUCAUUAAGAGAGGCUUUGGGAACACUUGUAUGGCGAUGUGCGCUACAAAGAAGGCGAGGGGGCGGCCGGGGGGACGGACGAGCCCUCCUUUUACCUCAGGUUGCUUUGCUCCUGACAAAAUAGGGCCUCGGUGAAUAGUGGGAGGCUAAAGCGGAGUGCAACUGAAUGGGGGACGGAGGAGUGGGACUCGCUCAUGCAGAGAGCUUCCCCCCCCACACACACACUCCCCUCCCCGCCUUGGGAGAAAAGAGCCACCACCUGCUUCUGCUGAGCCUUUUCCCUGGCUUCAAUAGAGACCUUGUGAAAGGAGCCCGAACUGGGAACAGGGAAAGCUGAAAGGAGGGAGUAAGCAAGACGUUUUGAGAAGCCGGCGCUCACCUGUUGAGCCGCGACAACCAAACAAAUGGCUUUCAUUGCCGCCCACUGCGGCCUUUGACCCCUUGGCUUUGAGUCGCUCCGCAGAGGGGCCUGUAGGAGAAGAAGCCUCCUUGGUUCAAUAACAUCUCGCGCAGCUCCAACACCUGCGGCUCCAUCUGACAGAGCUGCUCACGUGGACCGUAGAUCCCCAACGGUCAUUUGUCGACACAUGAAGAGAGCUUGUCGAGAGAUUCACAGCGCUCACGAAGCAAAUGUCGCCAUCGAAGGGCUCUGCGAGCACACGGCACCGCCAAGAUGUGCCAUCGGUGAAAUGAAGAAACAAGCCUCGCGUCUCCGAGAAAAAAAAACGCUGCGUUGAAUUCACUCCGUUUGAUUUCAAAAUAAAAUCACAUGCACUUUUUCAAGUCGACGUCUCCAGACGAUUUUAGCAUGUGCGACUGUUUGACAAGUAAAUUCAUGCGCUGAAAAAAAUGGAUUCAACAUCAUUUUGCCAAAUGGCUGCAUGAAAUAAAAAUCAUCUGGACCUGA